GACGAACGCUGGCGGCGUGCCUAAUACAUGCAAGUCGAACGCAGUGGGGACGGGUGAGUAACACGUGGGUAACCUCCCCAUCAGAGGGGAUAACACUUGGAAACAGGUGCUAAACCGAUACUGAUGGAUGAAACCGCGGUGCAUUAGCGAGUUGGUGAGGUAACGGCUCACCAAGGCCACGAUGCAUAGCCGACCUGAGAGGGGGAGAUGCCACACUGGUAAUGAGACACGGCCCAGACUCCUACGGGAGGCAGCAGUAGGGAAUCUUCGGCAAGGGACGAAAGUCUGACCGAGAAACGCCGCUUGAGUGAAGAAGGUUUUCGGAUCGUAAAACUCUGUUGUUAUAGAAGCGGGAUCUAACCAGAAAGCCACGGCUAACUACGUGCCAGCAGCCGCGGUAAUUC
rnacentral:rRNA from 1 species